CUUCCCUGUGAUGAGAAAAAUUUCUUUGUGUUCUACAAAGACUGUGAACUAUCGGACUGCAAUCCCGAUCUGGAAGAUUUAAUAGAUUGAGUGGAUGUGCCAAAAGCUCAAGCCCUGCUUAUUCUUCUGAACUUUGCAACAAAAUCUUCAUGUGCCAGCAUAGCUCCAUCAGCAUGAGCCAUGUCUGUACUUGAAAGCUUGUGUUCUUCCAUGUGUGGAUGCACAUGCUACUAUAUGCAAGAACCCACCCAGUUCUGUAUUCGUGACCCCAUGUCCAGCCUCACCCACAAUUGAAAACACUUGUAAAUAUGUGAAUUUUUGCCAGGAAUUGUACGCGUCAUGGCACCACUCCCAGUGUCAUGCACUGGUUCAUGCACUUCCGCAUGCAAUCCAAUUUCUGCAACACCAUGUCCACUCCCAUGUGAUCUCACAGGCCAGGAUCCCCUAUGCGCGAUUUCUGCUACUGCAUAUACUACUGUUCCUCUCAGUACAUGCAUGAUCAACAGUGGGUGCAGGGAUGGAAAAGGCGCGGCCUCUUGUGUUCCCAAAGUAGUGAAAAUGUGGGCUACAAAAUGUGGAAUCUGGAAUGACGAGACAAACACAGCUUGCCCAACCAAAAGCUAUUUCUCCUGGAAAGAUGCAUCUUAUGAUCCAUGACUUUAGAACACAAUGCGUGGAUGAAGUCAGAUCUACUUAAUGCAAGUGAAGGACAAUGAAUUUUCUGCAUAUGAACCAAGGGAAGGACAAUGAAUCUUCAAUAGGUUUUACUCUGAGACCCAUGGCGCAGAGUGGUAAGCGGCAGUACCGCAAUCCAAGCUCUGCUCAUCAUGACCUGAGUUCGAUCCUGGUGGAAGCCAGGUUCAGGUAGCCAGCUCAAGGCUGACUCAGCCUUCCAUCCUUCUGAGGUCAGUAAAAUGAGUACCCAGUUUCCUGAGAGUAAAGUUUAGAAGGCAAUGGCAAACCACCCUGUAACAAAAGUCUGCCAAGAAAACAUCGUGAUGUGAUAUCCCACCCCCCCCCCAUGGGUCAGUAAUGACUCAGUGCUUCUACAGGGGACUACCUUUACCUUUAGGGGAUGCUAAUGCAAAAUAUGCAGAAAUUGGAAAACAAGCAGUAAUCCAAGGCAAAGCCAAAACAAUGGUGAAACAAUGCCUCAGUAAUUAAACAUGACAUAUUUUUAAAAACCAUUGCCACCCAGGAGAGGAGGGAGCCCCACAGCGCAGAGUGGUAAGCUACAGUACUGCAGCCCAAGCUCUGCUCACAACCUGGGUUCAAUCCUGGCAGAAGCCGGGUUCAGGUAGCCAGCUCAAGGCUGACUCAGCCUUCCAUCCUUCCAAGGUCAGUAAAAUGAGUAUCCAGUUUCCUGAGGGUAAAGUGUAGAUGACUGGGGAAGGCAAUGGCAAACCACCCCAUAAAAGAUCUGCCAAGAAAACAUCGUGAUGCGACGUCCCCCCAUGGGUCUGUAAUGACUCGGUGCUUGCACCUUUACCUUUACUCCCAAAUCAGUGUGCAUAAGAUUGCAACUUCAAACUGGCUUGACAUGGUCAUUCCUUCUGCCAGGGAAUUCUGAGAACUGUAGUUCUGGGGAAAGGGACAGAGAUUUUAAACAAAGAAUUCUCGGCUCCCUCACAAAAUUCCAAUGCUCAGAACUUGUUAGGUCAGUGAUCUCUGUGGUGAUUGUGGACACCAUGGCACCAAUCAGUGGGUUUCCUGGAACCCAUCUGCUUCUUCCCCAAAGCAGGGGUUGCCAACUUCCAUGUGGGACCUGGUGAUCUCCCAGAAUUCCAAGUGAUCUCCAGCCUACAGUGAUCAGAAAAUGGCCACUUUGGAGGGCAGGCUCCAUAGCAUCACACCUCACUGGGGUCCCUCCCUCCGCAAACCCUGCCCUCUCUAGUCUCUGCCCCCAAAUCUCCAUGAAUUUCCCAACCUGGAGUUGGCAACCCUGCCCAAAGUUAUGAGUUUUCUUCACCUUAUCGGAAGGGCUUCAUAAGAACCCCUUCAUAAGGACAUGCCACCUUUGAAUAGGCAGUGCCCAUUUGAAAACAGUUGCCUUCAUUCCAGGAAGAUGCUCGACUUGGAACAUGCUGUCAUUUUAUGGUUGGCCCCAAAACCUUACGACAGCCAUUGUGUGAUUGGCCUAACUCCAUAACAGACGUUUUGUGAUGACGCUUCCUCCCUGUUCCUAAAAUUCCAAAAUUGCCCAUUUAAAGUGAUAUAAAACUGUUACUCAACCCCUCUCCAUCUGUCAGAUAUAAAUGUGCAUUGAAUAAAAGCUCUGCAUGAUUCACAGCA